rnacentral:lncRNA from 1 species
AUGCAGUGUAACUUUUCAAAUAAUGGUCAUCAACAAUUUUUAAUUGCAUACAAUGAUCAGGACAUAUUGAGCAGUCAUCAUAGGGACGGUAACUGCCACAUGACAUGUACAAGGUGCAAGAAGGGGCCACAGCCAGGAGGGAACAGGGUGGAAUUAGCCCCAAACCGGUUGGGCUUUGGAGUUAAAUUAAUGUCUUUAAACUUUUUUGUGAGGAAUAGUACAACAGAAGGCCCGGAAACACACCACCAAUACACAAAGAGAGAAAAACAUCAGUGGUAACAUCUAGAAAUAUUUAGCUUCACCAAUAUCUGAUGAUAUUGCAACAGUAAAGUAUGACUUCAACAGUAAUCAUGAGUUCUUUUUUCUGGUUCGACAGGACUCGUUUUGUGCUAAUGUUCUGCACAUUGGAAAAUACAGACAGGAACGAAAAAUAAGUUAUGACAUUCAAUUUGGCCGUACAGCGCAACAACAACAACAACAACAACCACAACAACAACAACAACAACAACAACAACAACAUUAACUUUGCUUGGAGUGAAAAGUGAAGAGAACUAAAAACUAAUAACACAAACGUAUUGAGGCGCUUGUGUUUUUCUUUUUCCCUACUUUCCGAGUGGCCGUGGCUGACGCAGGAUGACGCUGUGCUUGCGUCUAUUGACUGGGUCUGUGGCCACGGUGCCAAGUAGAGCCCGGGAUACAGUACAGGGAGAGAGAUAGAGAGAGAGAGAGCGCCUCACAGGAACAAAGUUCACAGCAUUUCCCCCUGUCAUCUGAGGGUACCAGGCAAUGCCACAUGCAACAUAUAUCUCUAUAAAAACACCCUGAAGAUAUUUAGAUAUAUACAUAUCAAAGGUCACUAAAGGGGGUUGAGACUGUCUGGUGGCUCCCUGCACACCCCCCCCCCCCCCCACCCCCCCCACCCCAGGUUCACAGAAUUUAGCAUGCUGCGUGCCUUAUCACAACAUGUGAUAAAUGUGUGCGUGCGUGUGUGUGCGUGCAUAUAUGUGCAUGCAUAUGUGUGUGUGUGUGUGUGCGUGUGUGCCUUCUGUCUGUGGCAAGAUCACAGAUUGCAAUGCAUGGAGGGCAACAGAUUGUUGUCAUCCGAGUCUUCCACUGAGGUGAGGAGAUCAUCACGAGUUGGCUGGCGCUGACUGGGCUAAGGGCUCGGCUGGCUCGAGGCAGUUCAUGAGGACUUCAGAUGACACAGGGGAAAAGAGCGAGAGAGCAUAGACAGAAACAAGAGAGAGCGCAAGAGAGAGAGAGAUAAAGAUAGAGAGAGAAAAAGAACAAGAGAGAGAGAGAGAGAGAGAGAGAGAGAGAGAGAGAGAGAGAGAGAGAGAGAGAGAGAGAUAGUGAACGAGAGAGAGAGAGUGAGAUAAAGAGAGAGAGAGAAAAAUAACAAGAGAGAGAGAGAGAGAGAGAGAGAGAGAGAGAGAGAGAGAGAGAGGGAGAGAUAGUGAACGAGAGAGAGCGAUCGGGGGGGGGGGGGGGGGGGAAGAGAGAGAAUGUGAAGGGAAGGGGUUUCAGUUUUUUUCAGCAGAGGAAGGGAAACUGACAGACACAGCUGGAAAAGCACGGGAGCGGUCUCGCAGUUCCCUCCGAGACCCAGUGCAAGGUACACUUCCCAAAGUUCUGGAUAUCCGUUUACAUUUGGGGGGCGGGAGUGGGAGUGGGAGUGGUGGUGGUGGUGGUGGUGGUGGUGGUGUUGCGGAAGGGGGGAUGGGGAACGGGACGGGACGGGACGGGACGGGGGGGGGGGUAGGGGGCGAAUGGGGGGGAGGGGACUCUGGGAAACAUCAGUGAGCGAGCAGUUGGGAGCACUUCGGGGAAAAGACACUGCCAAGCCGUCCUUGCAUCUCAACGGGGGCCUGCUGGGCAGACCAGUCGCCACCUCCACCCCUCUGGAACCCGCAGAUCUACCCGCUAUCAGCCUCUGCUAUUUCUAAGCGCUGUUUAUUAUUGUUGUGUGUGCGGGAGAUUGUACCAUGACUAAGGAAAUGGCUUCUGGUUUCUGUAAACAGAGUGGAAGGUAAACAGCACAGCAACCAGAUCCUCCAAUCAACAAACGCUUACGUGACACAGCCGGGCUUAGGCUUAGGGGGGCAAAAGGUUGCCUUUUUUAUGUAUCUCCCAGUAGAUAACCCAAGAAAAAGUAGCAGUGGUAGUAAAAUGAAAAUGUGAAGUUGGUAAGCACUUAAAGUACUAAAUUAUACUCAUGGGUUUCUCCAAGGCACAACAAUAUCUGUGUAAAAUAAAUUACUAUUAAAUACCCCUCCCCCUAACAACUGGGUCCGUUUAAGUGCAGAUGUGAUAGAUGGGACUAUACGAUUCGAAAGUGGAGCAUUGCUGUAUCUAUAAAAAGCCACACACUUUAAGUGGCAAAGAGAAACGACCCAACACACCGCAGUCACACGCAGUUCCUACUGGGACAGGAGUUUAAUCUAUUAGAUUCAUGAUGAUCAUUAUGAUUAUUUUAUUAAAACUCCUGUUAAAAAGUGGUGCGGAUGGCAUACUUGUUGCUCAUGCUCAGUGUGUGUGUGUGCGCGUGUGUGUGUGUGUUUAGCAUGCAGACACUGAUAAGGCUUUGGAGAAUGCCCCAAUCUUCAGUGCUAUCUGUUGGUCUCAGAAACCUCCCUUCUGCAACAUGCUGUUAAACAUUAGCAUACGCAGCCAGCACUCAUUGCAGGCAUUUCUGAGGCCUUUUCCAUUUGUGAAUGUGAGUGUGUGUGUGUCUGUGGGCAUGCAUGCUUGUAAUAAGUGUGUGUGUGGGGGGGGGGGGGGCUUUUGAAAAAGAGCAAUGUCUGGCUCUCGGCCAGACAUUGCUCUUCAUGUAUGAGGAAAUUGUUGAAUUGAAAUAAGUUGUGGAAUGUAUAUCUACAAGUAAAAGAAAAAAACAGAAACGUCAGUGAGACCUUGCACGGAAUUACUCCACAAUGUGGUGCUAAUGCUAAAUGGCUAACUCAAUGUCCUCCUCAUGAUACCAGGCCCAACUGUGAGGAGCAUUCAACAAUGCUGAUAUUUUAAAUAAUGCAUUAUUAUCGAUUGAUUCAUGAUAGUAUUUGUUGCUCUUAGAAAGGAAAAGGUUCACACGUUAAAGGUACAGUGUAUAGGAAUUAGGGACUUCUAGCAGUGAGGUUGCAGAUUGCCACGCAGGAAAUAUUGCUCCCAAUGUAGAUAAAAAGGGCUACUUUUAAGGUAAUGAAUACACAAUUCUUAAUUUUAUUGGAUUCUACACUUAUUAAAUCUUACUUUUGAACAUUAUAUUCCAUUGUUGCCAAAAUCCUUUCUGCUAGAUGCCACUAAAUCCUACAAACUGCACCUCUAACAUGUGUUUGGCCACGAACACCAAGGGAGAUAAAAGGAAUGUCUACAGAUCCCAAUUGAGCCAGCUUUUUCAGGAUUUAUAGAAUGCAUAAAACAACUUAAUGUCAAUAAACUGCCAAGGCACUGUGCUACUCUAACACUAUGCUAGAGACCAUGUAAAGUAUGGUUGUGCAACAAAAGAAUGCAAGAGAAAAGAAAGGAAAAGUGAGGUAGAUGGAAAAUCAACAUUGUUUUUCAAAAAACCCUGUCCCAGCUAUCUCAAUUGUAUUCGUUGGUGUCCUAAACCAAUGACACUCCACCCAUACGUCUGGAAAUAUCUCAAGCAACCAUUUCCUUGGACCAGUCUCCAGGGGAUAACACUGUCAACCAAGGUGACCGGUCUUACCUUCAUCAGACAAUUCAAAAGAAAAAAUAAUAAAAUAUGGCUAAAGUGUAAACUUCCGUGUGAGGU